UACGUAGGGACCAAGCGUUGUUCGGAUUCAUUGGGCGUAAAGAGCUCGUAGGCGGCUUGGCAAGUCGGGUGUGAAAACUCCAGGCUCAACCUGGAGACGCCACCCGAUACUGCCAUGGCUAGAGUCCGGUAGGGGACCACGGAAUUCCUGGUGUAGCGGUGAAAUGCGCAGAUAUCAGGAGGAACACCGGUGGCGAAGGCGGUGGUCUGGGCCGGAACUGACGCUGAGGAGCGAAAGCGUGGGGAGCGAACAGG
rnacentral:rRNA from 1 species